GGGUUGUAAAGCACUUUCAGUAGGGAGGAAGGUAGUGUAGUUAACAACCUGCACUUAUUUGACGUUACCUACAGAAGAAGCACCGGCUAACUCCGUGCCAGCAGCCGCGGUAAUACGGAGGGUGCGAGCGUUAAUCGGAAUUACUGGGCGUAAAGCGCAUGCAGGCGGCCUGUUAAGUCAGAUGUGAAAGACCCGGGGCGUUAACCUCGGAAUUGCAUUUGUAAACUGGCAGGCUAGAGUCUUGUAGAGGGGGGUAGGAAGUUUCAGGUGUAGCGGUGAAAUGCGUAGAGAUCUGAAGGAAUACCAGUGGCGAAGGCGGCCCCCUCGGACAAAGACUGACGCUCAGAUGCGAAAGCGUGGGGAGCAAACAGGAUUAGAUACCCCUGGUAG
rnacentral:rRNA from 1 species